rnacentral:rRNA from 1 species
ACUGGGUAGAACAACAGGGAUUGCCUUAGUAACUGCGAGUGAAGCGGCAAAAGCUCAAAUUUGAAAUCUGACGUCUUUGACGUUCGAGUUGUAAUUUGGAGGGAUAUCUUCGGAGCUGGGACCGUCCUAAGUUCUUUGGAACCAGACAUCAUAGAGGGUGAGAAUCCCGUGCCUGGAUGGCUGUACCGCUCCAUGUGAAGUGUCUCCGACGAGUCGAGUUGUUUGGGAAUGCAGCUCAAAAUGGGUGGUAAAUUUCAUCUAAAGCUAAAUAUUGGCGAGAGACCGAUAGCGCACAAGUAGAGUGAUCGAAAGAUGAAAAGCACUUUGAAAAGAGAGUUAAACAGUACGUGAAAUUGUUGAAAGGGAAGCGCUUGAGACUAGAUUCAGCUGGCGGUGAUCAGCCAUGCUUUUGUUUGGUGCACUUGCCGUCGGUUGAGCCAGCAUCGGUUCUGAUGGUGGGAUAAAGGUUUGAGGAAUGUGGCUUCGCAACUUUGUGGAGUGUUAUAGCCUUGAGCGUAAUGCCACCUGUUGGGACCGAGGAUUGCGCUUCUGCUAGGAUGCUGGCUAAAAGGUCUUAAGCGGCCCGUCUUGAAACACGGACCAAGGAGUCUAACAUCUAUGCGAGUGUUCGGGUGAAAAACCCUUGCGCGUAAUGAAAGUGAACGGAGGUGGGAACUCCUUUGGGGUGCACCAUCGACCGAUCCUGAUGUUUACGGAAGGAUUUGAGUAGGAGCAUAGCUGUUGGGACCCGAAAGAUGGUGAACUAUGCCUGAAUAGGGUGAAGCCAGAGGAAACUCUGGUGGAGGCUCGCAGCGGUUCUGACGUGCAAAUCGAUCGUCAAAUUUGGGUAUAGGGGCGAAAGACUAAUCGAUCCAUCAAUCGGC